AAGAUAAUCCUUUAGGGGAAUUAAACUGGGGAAGGAAAUGGCAUGUCAUAACAACUUAUAAAUAAUAUUUAGUCCUGUCAAUCUUCGCGAUUGGGUGGUCA